UGAGUAGGCGGUUGUAUAUGUCAGGUGUAAAAGGCUAUGGCUUAACCAUGGUUAGCACUUGAAACUGUACAACUUGAGUGCAGGAGAGGUAAGUGGAAUUCCUAGUGUAGCGGUGAAAUGCGUAGAUAUUAGGAGGAACACCAGUGGCGAAGGCGACCUACUGGACUGUAACUGACGCUGAGUCACGAAAGCGUGGGUAGCAAACAG
rnacentral:rRNA from 1 species